rnacentral:rRNA from 1 species
UACGGAGGGGGCUAGCGUUGUUCGGAAUUACUGGGCGUAAAGCGCACGUAGGCGGCUUUGUAAGUUAGAGGUGAAAGCCCGGGGCUCAACUCCGGAAUUGCCUUUAAGACUGCAUCGCUAGAACGUCGGAGAGGUAAGUGGAAUUCCGAGUGUAGAGGUGAAAUUCGUAGAUAUUCGGAAGAACACCAGUGGCGAAGGCGGCUUACUGGACACAUAUUGACGCUGAGGUGCGAAAGCGUGGGGAGCAAACAGG